UUGUUAGACAAAAGAAAUUCUCCUAUGAAAUAGAAAAAAGGCUCCACCCAUCCUCUCCCUUUUCAUGUAUCUGUAGUCAUUAUUAGACACAUCAAAACUGUAAAAACUUAUCUAUAGCCAUUAUUAGACCAAACUCAUCCUCUUUUGCUUUACUAACCUUUUCUGUUUCAACCUCUCAAAUUUUUUUCCCAUCUCUGAAUGUUUUUCUUUUCCAUCUCAUAUUAAAACUCUCUGAAAUCUUCAUAUCUCAUUUUUCUUCUCACAUUUAUAUGAUAGUCUGUAACUAUGGUGUCUUAAGGGAAAACUUCACGAUAGGAAAAAAAGAUGUGAUGCGUCCUUCUAGCAGUUGAAAAUAGAUGUGAAGCGUUUUCCACUCUUUUUUUUGUUUCUUCUCCGUUCUGUUUCCAGAGAAACCUGAGGACAACAAAACUUGAGUUUUUGGGGGGUUUGAUUUUUUUCAAAAGAAUCAGAACAAUGAAAAGCAGAUUUCAGGUUUCUUGAAUCUUCAGUGGAAAAUAUAUGGUUUAUGUGUUGAGUUAUCUCAAUAGUGUUCCAGCAGUUAACAUGUAUAAGAGAAUGUUUAACGACAUAGGAAGGGAAAUAUAUGAUUCAGAUUUUCGGACCCAACAAUCUUAAAGAGAAAAAGGUCUCAACUUUGUUCUGCUUAUCUCAGAGAAAGCAAGUACUUCUUGUUUGUUUGUUCGUUUGCUGACUAGGGUCUGGUGAUGGUCUUUCAGGAGAGUAAGAUUCUCAAGUUCUUAGGUUUAUGUGGAAUCCACUCGCGUGAGCCCGGAUCUGUCGUGUUCUUGUCGGCGAUUGAGAUACGAGGAGGCGUCUCUUGGUCGGAGGAGCAUUUGAGGAGGAGAGAACUGUAAAAAGUGGAAGUGAGGGAAACGAGGUCGUGAGUGUCACCAUUUCUAGACCGAGGAUAGUGAACCAACGGCGUCAAAAAAUAGAAAUCUUUGUGGAUCGCCGGAGAAGAGGAGUCAGAGGCGAGCUUCGUCACCAGGGAAGAAGAUAGAGAAGUAGAAAAAGCUGAAGAAGAGGUUUUUGAAGUAGAAGAACCCAUUUUGAAUUGAAUUUAACAAACGCUGAGCUUUGAAAGAUUUAGUUUGGUUUCUCUUUCUGGGUUCUUCUGAGAUGUUUGAUUCUCUCUCUCUAGAGUACAUAUCUCAUUGCUUUUAUGGUUUUUGUUUUAUUAACUCUAUGUCGUAAUGCAUAAAAAUCUCACCUUUGUGAUUCUUGA